GAUAACUGACUUGUGGUAGCCCAAGUGUUCAUAGUGAUGUUGCUUUUUGAUCCUUCGAUGUCAGCUCUUCCUAUCAUUGUGAAGUAGAAUUCACUGAGUGUUAGAUUGUUCACCCACCAAUACAGAACAUGAGCUAGGUUUAGACCGUUGUGAGAUAAGUU
rnacentral:ncRNA from 1 species